CCGAGCGAUCGCGCGGUAUGUUGCCGAAAGGUAUUACCGUGAGGAAAGUCCGGGCUUCACAGAGCAAGGAUAACGGAUAACGUCCGCCGAAGGUGACUUCCGGGAAAGUGCAACAGAAAUAAACCGCCGUAUUUUUUACGGUAAGGAUGGAAAGGCGAGGUAAGAGCUCACCGAUCUCUUGGUAACAAGGGAUGCCCUGUAAACCCUAUCCGAAGCAACACCCCGUGCCGAAUGGUGUGCUCUGCCGGAUGCCGAAAGGCAUCGGGCGCGAGGUGGCAAUCUGGUUUUGUCAGAUGAGCCUUUCAGUAAUGAAUGGCAAAGAUAGAUGAUCGCUCAAGACAGAACCCGGCUUAUAGGACCGGUCG
rnacentral:RNase_P_RNA from 1 species